rnacentral:rRNA from 1 species
UACAGAGGUCCCGAGCGUUGUUCGGAUUCACUGGGCGUAAAGGGUGCGUAGGUGGUGGGAUAAGUCGGAUGUGAAAUCUCGGAGCUCAACUCCGAAACGGCAUUGGAAACUGUCCUGCUAGAGGGUUGGAGGGGGGACUGGAAUACUUGGUGUAGCAGUGAAAUGCGUAGAUAUCAAGUGGAACACCGGUGGCGAAGGCGAGUCCCUGGACAACACCUGACACUGAGGCACGAAAGCUAGGGGAGCAAACAGG